UGGGGAAUAUUGCGCAAUGGCCGAAAGGCUGACGCAGCGACGCCGCGUGUGGGAUGACGGCCCUCGGGUUGUAAACCACUGUCGGGAGGGACGAAUACAGGGCCUCGAAUAGGGGACCCUGGGUGACGGUACCUCCAAAGGAAGCACCGGCUAACUCCGUGCCAGCAGCCGCGGUAAUACGGAGGGUGCGAGCGUUGUCCGGAAUCACUGGGCGUAAAGGGCGCGUAGGCGGUUCGUUAAGUUGCUGGUGAAAUCCCGGGGCUCAACUCCGGGGCUGCCAGUAAGACUGGCGGGCUAGAGCACGGUAGAGGCAGAUGGAAUUCCCGGUGUAGCGGUGGAAUGCGUAGAUAUCGGGAAGAAUACCGGUGGCGAAGGCGUUCUGCUGGGCCGUUGCUGACGCUGAGGCGCGACAGCGUGGGGAGCAAACAG
rnacentral:rRNA from 1 species